GGACCCGUGGCGCAACGGUAGCGCAUCUGAUUCCAGACAAUGGAAUGACCAGAAGGUUAUCCGUUCAAGUCGGGUCGGGUUCA